rnacentral:rRNA from 1 species
GACGAACGCUGGCGGCGUGCUUAACACAUGCAAGUCGAACGGAAAGGCCCUGCUUUUGUGGGGUGCUCGAGUGGCGAACGGGUGAGUAACACGUGAGUAACCUGCCCUUGACUUUGGGAUAACUUCAGGAAACUGGGGCUAAUACCGGAUAGGAGCUCCUGCUGCAUGGUGGGGGUUGGAAAGUUUCGGCGGUUGGGGAUGGACUCGCGGCUUAUCAGCUUGUUGGUGGGGGAGUGGCUUACCCAGGCUUUGACGGGUAGCCGGCCUGAGAGGGUGACCGGCCACAUUGGGACUGAGAUACGGCCCAGACUCCUACGGGAGGCAGCAGUGGGGAAUAUUGCACAAUGGGCGGAAGCCUGAUGCAGCAACGCCGCGUGCGGGAUGACGGCCUUCGGGUUGUAAACCGCUUUCGCCUGUGACGAAGCGUGAGUGACGGUAAUGGGUAAAGAAGCACCGGCUAACUACGUG